rnacentral:rRNA from 1 species
AUUGAACGCUGGCGGCAGGCCUAACACAUGCAAGUCGAGCGGAAGAAGGGAGCUUGCUCCUGGAUUCAGCGGCGGACGGGUGAGUAAUGGCUAGGAAUCUGCCUGGGAGUGGGGGAUAACGUCAGGAAACGGGCGCUAAUACCGCAUACGUCCUGCGGGAGAAAGUGGGGGAUCUUCGGACCUCACGCUAUCAGAUGAGCCUAGGUCGGAUUAGCUAGUUGGUGGGGUAAAGGCCUACCAAGGCGACGAUCCGUAACUGGUCUGAGAGGAUGAUCAGUCACACUGGAACUGAGACACGGUCCAGACUCCUACGGGAGGCAGCAGUGGGGAAUAUUGGACAAUGGGCGAAAGCCUGAUCCAGCCAUGCCGCGUGUGUGAAGAAGGUCUUCGGAUUGUAAAGCACUUUAAGUUGGGAGGAAGGGCAGUAAGUUAAUACCUUGCUGUUUUGACGUUACCAACAGAAUAAGCACCGGCUAACUUCGUG